rnacentral:SRP_RNA from 1 species
UCCAGAUGUGGUGGCGCAUGCCUGUAGUCCCAGCUACUCAGGAGGCUGAGGUGGGAGGAUUGCUUGAGUCCAGGAGUGUGAGGCUGCAGUGAGCUAGGAUCACGCCACUGCACUAUAGCCUGGGCAACAGAGCAAGACCCUGUCUCUU